CAAUGAGUGGGAGGUAUACUUCCUUCCUACAGGUUUUUCGUCUAAAGUUGUCACAGAAAAGUGGUUUUCCCUUCUGGUGUUCAGCAAGAACCCAGUGUUAGACUCAAGGGGGAUAUAAUCAAACAUCCAGCCUGGGUCCAUAUUAUGUAGAUCUCUGAGAAUUCCCACUGUCUGCUUUCAGCCUACCUAAAUCAGGCUUUCAUACUAGAAUGGCAAUGCUUGACUCCUGCUUCAUACUGGUGUCAGUCCCUGUACAAGAUGCAGGGCAUCCAUGAAUCUGGCCCCUGGAUUCUAUCCUAGGCUUUGCCACUGACAUGAUUGUAGGAUCUUGGGCAAGUUUCUUAACCAUCCUUUGUCCUUGUGUGCAGGACUGGGGUCUGCUGACAGUGCUGUGUCAGUUAGGAGUGUGAAAAAACUACACUGGUAGUGGCCACAGGUGUCCAGAUGUGGAUGGAGGCAGCUUCGUAGGAGCUGGCAGAGCUCUGGUAGAAAUUGUGACUGGCAAGGCAAGGGGAUUGGGACUGAAGGAGGAGAGACUUGCAUGGCCAUUCCGGAGGCACAGAGUAGGCCUUUCUGAGCAAGAAGACUAAGACUAAGACUGGGGCUGUCCAGGUGAGGAGAACAGGACAAAGGAGCUGGGAGCUGGAAAGGUGACAGUUUGGAAGGGACAGGACAAGUGGAGUUGAGUUUGGAGGAAAUGGGCGGAAGGGUCUUUGCCUACUAGGGCAUGUUCUCUUCUAGAGUGUAAAUUGGAGCCCAGGAUUCCUGUGCUGUGCCAUUCCCCCGCAGUCAGGACAUGUCUCUGAAACAACGGCAGUGUGUCGAAGUCUGUCCCAGAGCUGGUCCACUCUAGAAAACGACAGCCUGCUACUUACUGUGAGUUAUUCCAGUGGCACAGCUCUGUGCAACAGAAUUAAAGGUUGCAAAUCUUCUGAUGGUCCAAAUCAGCGUUGGAGGGAUGCCACACAGGGAAUUGACUGGUUUCUUAGUUGUUGUUUUUUUAAGUCUAGAGACGUAAAUCUACACAUGCACAAACUGCAGUAAAAAUUGUUCAGAUUACAUAUUUUAACUAAAAAGCUAGAAAAUGUCAGAACUGAGACUAGAGUCCUAUGGCAAAACAGCAUAAGAUUAUGUGCUUGGUAACUGCAGACUGUCUCAAUGCAUAUAAAUGAAGGAAAUGAAUUAAGGUUGCACAGGCCACCUUACUUUUGGUGUUUCCUAACAACUGACUGACGUUGUUAAGAUUGCAAUGUUCUUUCAACCUAGGGCUGCAUUUGUCCGUGUUGUAAUGGCACUCCACCAAGAACAAAUUUGGUUCACAAUAGCUGGUUUCUUCUCAUGCCACUAUAUCCAGUUCCAUUGCUUCUCAAGUGUGAAAGCUGAUUUAGGGUGUCACUUUGUGAGUAGGCAGUAGGUUACUUUGUCAGAUGCCCUGAAAGAAGAAAUUGGUGACGCACUAAUUCACCUUUCCUUUGGGUCAUAUGGGCAUGGGAUAUAUCCAUUUGACCUUGAACAGAUGAUCUUUGUUUAGUCCUCUAGAGGAAGAAGGGAAAACCUACGUUCCCUGUCAAUGUGUCCAGAGGAGGAAAAUUCCUUUUUGUAACCGUCAUGUAAUGAAGAAAGUACAUGCGUCACCUGCACUAUAUUCUUAUUUUGCGAUACAAAUGUGGUUAUAAACUGAUUGUUCUGCUCCUGCUUCCUCAAUACAAAAGCUUCGCAAUGAUGAUAGGUUGCCUUUCCCUGUCACUGCAAUUCCUGGAUCUCAAAGUACUCAAACAAGUAAACUUUGGGAUCUCCUGGUGAGGUAAGUAUUGGCGCCAUUAAUUAGAAGUGAAAUCAAGGCACAGGGAGUGACUUAUGAAAGUCACACAAGUCUGUGGCAAGCUUGAGGAGGGAACCCAAAGUCCUUGAAUCUCAUCAGGUUAGGCCUAUGCUGUGUCUCUGAUGCGUCUUGGGAGGAAAGCUUCUGGGACUGCCCUCCACCUCUCCUACUCACAUGUAUAAGACCUGGCAAUGUCUCAAAAGAGGCCUCACUGCCAAAUCUCUGUGUUUGGCAGUUGAGAGUGGAAGCAAGUGGGCAGGGUGUGUUCAGGUGAGUCCCUCCCUCCCUCCCUACAUGUGCAGGAUUGUGGAAUUGAAAUGUGCAUCUAUGUUGUGCAUUAACUACUGACCUUUGCUCCCUCUUUCUAGCACCACGUGCCCAUUCUGUUAUGAGAACAAACAAAAGGGUAUACACCGCACCAAGCAGUCCCUGGCAUAUAUACAUACUACACAACUCAACUAACCUACCUCCAGAUCAGGAGUCACAGAAAACUAUGUUGAAGAUACCAGGAGCAUAAGUGUGUUAGUACUAGGAAAUCCUGAGUGCCCCAGUUGAGAGGUUAAGAAUGUGAAGCUUAUAGUGAAGAACUGGUUGUGCAGCUACGCAGUGUCCAGUGAGUCUCAGCCAGAACACUACAUUGCUUCCAGUAACUUUCCAGGGAUCUCCCCACAGAUUUAUGAAGCAUAUACACUCUUCAGUGACAAAUGGAUUGCAAAACAAUGCUACUUCUUCUGAAAAGACACAGUGCACAUACCAAUAGGCACGAAGACAUCCAAUAAAGUCCUCAAGCAAAACCAGACUUGACAUUCCUGCCAUUUCUAAGCAGGAUAAAAAACUACUAGCACUGCCUCUGUCCCGUGGUAGUCUCCAGAGAAUGAGUUGCAGGCCAUUUAUUCGGAUGGCAGAGAAGAAAUGAAAAUGGGCAGAAACAGUAACAAGACCUGAUCUGAAAUAAAUCAUCCAGAAGUAAACAAGGCAAAAACUAACUGGAGAUGGCCAUGACUUUAGGUGGCAAUCGCAACUCCUUAAGGCAAAAAAUUGUAGACAUAUUGUAGGCAAAUUAUCCAUUAAAGAGCUUACUUUCCUUGGAAGGAUAUUGCCUCCUAGCAACAGUAGAGGGACCAAAAACCAUCUGCUGGUUAUUAGUGAAGUGAAAACCCCUGCAACUACCAAUACUCAUCUGUCAAUAAUUCUUGUAAGGAUCUUUGAUGGGUCAAACUGGAAGAACUUAAUUAUUAGACCAAAAGGAACACUCACUCACUUGAGCUGUGAUCACUGACUAAUGUUGUUUUAUUUCAAGAGGAGUGUAGGUAUAGUAUGGAUGGAUUAUUUUCUUUAAAUAAGAACGUGUUUUAAAAAAACCCUGAAAAACCAAAAAAACUUGGAAGCUUUAACAAAAAAGUUCUGUUGCAUUUAAAGAUGACUGAUUGGUAAUAUAAGAAGGCUUUGUCUAUAUGUGAAAAUCCAAGUGUGCCACUUCGUUAUGGGUUUGAUGAUGUCCAUAUUGAAUAUGUAUGAGCUUGGAGGAAAUUCUUAACAAACAAUACAGAAAAUAAUAAGAAAAC